rnacentral:rRNA from 1 species
GCUACACAGCUAGCUUAACUACCUAAACUACCAAACCAACAUUAAUAACUAUAAUAAAACCACACUAUCUUAAACUAAAACAUUCUACCGCCCAAGUACGUGAGACAGAAAAGGCUCCCCAUAGCAAUAACAAAAGUACCGCAAGGGAACGCUGAAAAAGAAAUGAAACAAAUCAUAAAAGCACAAUAAAGCAGAGUUUAAACCUCGUACCUUUUGCAUCAUGAUUUAGCUAGCCCCCCUGAGCAAAGUGAACUUUAGUUCAAGCCCCCGAAACUAAGUGAGCUACCCCGAGACAGCCUAUUAAUUAGGGCCAACCCGUCUCUGUGGCAAAAGAGUGGGAAGAUCCCCGGGUAGAGGUGACAGACCUAACGAACUUAGUUAUAGCUGGUUGCCUAAGAAAUGGAUAGAAGUUCAGCCUCACACUCCUUGACUCACAACUAUUUAUUAAUAUAUGAACCAAAGAAAUCUGUGAGAGUUAGUCAAAGGGGGUACAGCCCCUUUGAAAAAGGAUACAACCUUAAUCAGGAGGUUAAAGAUUAUAUUAAAUAAGAUACCCGCUCCAGUGGGCCUAAAAGCAGCCACCUGAACAGAAAGCGUUAAAGCUCUUGCGGACUAAAAUCUACCAUUCAAAUAUUCAAUCUUAGACCCCUAGUAAUAUUAGGCCCUUCCAUGCCACCAUGGAAGAGAUACUGCUAAAAUGAGUAAUAAGAGGGGAAAACCCCUCUCCUCGGCCUAUGUGUAUGCUAGAUCGGACCCUCCACUAGCAAUUAUCGAACCCAAAUAAAGAGGGCAAUAUGACCUCACCAAACAACAAGCAAACCUCACAUAACCCAAUCGUUACCCCCACACUGGAAGGCCCAAUCUCCAGAGGAAAGACUAAAAAAAAAGGAAGGAACUCGGCAAACACAAGCCUCGCCUGUUUACCAAAAACAUCGCCUCCUGCAAAAAUCAAUAUAUAGGAGGUCUCACCUGCCCAGUGACAAUUUAAACGGCCGCGGUAUUUUGACCGUGCGAAGGUAGCGCAAUCACUUGUCUCUUAAAUGAAGACCUGUAUGAAUGGUAGAACGAGGGCUUAACUGUCUCCCUUUUUAAGUCAAUGAAAUUGAUCUGCCCGUGCAGAAGCGGACAUAAUAAUACAAGACGAGAAGACCCUUUGGAGCUUAAGGCUCCAGAUCAACUAUGUCAAGAACUUUAACCAAGUUAAACCAAAUAACACCUGAUCCUAGCCUUUAGUUGGGGCGACCGUGGGAGAAAACAAAGCUCCCAUGAGGACUGGACCCACCUCCAGAACCAAGAAAGACAUUUCUAAGUCACAGAACCUCUGACCAUAAUGAUCCGGCCACCAGCCGAUCAACGAACCAAGUUACCCUAGGGAUAACAGCGCAAUCCCCUUUCAGAGUCCAUAUCGACAAGGGGGUUUACGACCUCGAUGUUGGAUCAGGACAUCCUAAUGGUGCAGCCGCUAUUAAGGGUUCGUUUGUUCAACGAUUAAAGUCCUACGUGAUCUGAGUUCAGACCGGAGCAAUCCAGGUCAGUUUCUAUCUGUAAUGCCACUUUUCCCAGUACGAAAGGACCGGAAAAAGGGGGCCCAUAUUAUCAAUACGCCCCACCCCAACUUAAUGAUAACAACUCAAUUAACUAAAAGGAGGGCAUAC